GACAGAGGUGCCGAGCGUUAGGCGGAAUCACUGGGCUUAAAGCGUGUGUAGGCGGACUUGUAAGUACCUUGUGAAAUCCCACAGCUCAACUGUGGAACUGCUUGGUAUACUGCUUGUCUUGAGCCACUUAGGGGCAGUCGGAACAAACGGUGGAGCGGUGAAAUGCGUAGAUAUCUGGAGGAACACCGGUGGCGAAGGCGGCAUCCUGGACCAUUACUGACACUGAAAAGCGAAAGCCAGGGGAGCAAACGGG
rnacentral:rRNA from 1 species